AAGAAAGAUAGUCUCUCCUAAAUUCAGCCUUGAUCUUCUUAAUAAGAAAUAACAAAUCAAUCGAAUAAGAUUGCACACCCUGCUCUUCCUAGCUCUACUCUAUGAGACUUGCCUGUCAAAGGCUAACUCUCUUUGGGUUAGGGUUCCAAAUUGAAGUAUUCUAUAAGACAAAUGCUGGUAGCAGUGGAAAGCGAGGAGAUUCACGACUCAGAAAAGGACUCGAGCCUUCCCAAUGCCAAUGAGAGAGCGGUCCCUAUUAAUAUUAAUAUUAAUAUUAA
rnacentral:misc_RNA from 1 species